rnacentral:rRNA from 1 species
AUUGAACGCUGGCGGCAGGCCUAACACAUGCAAGUCGAACGAGUGGCGGACGGGUGAGUAAUGUCUGGGAAACUGCCUGAUGGAGGGGGAUAACUACUGGAAACGGUAGCUAAUACCGCAUACCAUCGGAUGUGCCCAGAUGGGAUUAGCUAGUAGGUGGGGUAACGGCUCACCUAGGCCACGCUCCCUAGCUGGUCUGAGAGGAUGACCAGUCACACGAGAACUGUGACACGGUCCAGACUCCGACGGACGGCAGCAGGGGGGAAUAUUGCACAAUGGGCGAAAGCCUGAUGCAGCCAUGCCGCGUGUAUGAAGAAGGCCUUCGGGUUGUAAAGUACUUUCAGCGGGGAGGCGUUACCCGCAGAAGAAGCACCGGCUAACUCCGUGCCAGCAGCCGCGGUAAUAC